GCCAGCUCAGUGGCACACACCUGUAGUCCUGGCUACCAGGAAGGCUAAAGCAGGAGGAUCGCUUGAGUCCAGGAGUUCUGGGCUGUGGUGUGCUAUGCCAAUAGGGUGUCUCCACACUAAGUUCAGCAUCAAGAUGAUGACCUCUUGGUAGAAGGGGACUACCAGGUUGCCUAAGGAGGGGUGAACCAGCUCAGGUCAAAACCAGAGCAGGUCAAAACUCCCAGGCUGAUCAGUAGUGGGAUGGCACCAUGAAAAGCCACUGCAGUCCAGCCUGGGCAACACAGCAAGACCCUGUCUCU
rnacentral:SRP_RNA from 1 species